UACGUAGGGGGCUAGCGUUGUCCGGAAUCAUUGGGCGUAAAGCGCGCGUAGGCGGCCCGGUAAGUCCGCUGUGAAAGUCCAGGGCUCAACCCUGGAAAGCCGGUGGAUACUGCCGGGCUAGAGUCCGGAAGAGGCGAGUGGAAUUCCUGGUGUAGCGGUGAAAUGCGCAGAUAUCGGGAGGAACACCAAUGGCGAAGGCAGCUCGCUGGGACGUGACUGACGCUGAGACGCGAAAGCGUGGGGAGCAAACAGG
rnacentral:rRNA from 1 species